GGGUGUAGAAUAAGUGGGAGCUUCGGCGCCGGUGAAAUACCACUACCUUUAUUGUCUUUUUACUUAUUCAAUGAGGCGGAGCUGGGAUUAACAGUCCCACCUUUUGGCUUCAAGGUCAUUUAUUGGCCGAUCCGGGUUGA
rnacentral:rRNA from 3 species